CCUACGGGAGGCUGCAGUGGGGGAUAUUGGACAAUGGGGGGAACCCUGAUCCAGCGACGCCGCGUGAGUGAAGAAGUAUUUCGGUAUGUAAAGCUCUGUCAGCAGGGAAGAAAGAAAUGACGGUACCUGACCAAGAAGCCCCGGCUAACUACGUGCCAGCAGCCGCGGUAAUACGGAGGGGGCAAGCGUUAUCCGGAAUUACUGGGGGUAAAGGGAGCGUAGACGGUUAAGUAAGUCUGGAGUGAAAGGCCGGGGCCCAACCCCGGGACUGCUCUGGAAACUAUUUAACUUGAGUGCAGGAGAGGUAAGCGGAAGUCCUGGUGUAGCGGUGAAAUGCGUAGAUAUUAGGAGGAACACCAGUGGCGAAGGCGGCUUACUGGACUGUAACUGACGUUGAGGCUCGAAAGCGUGGGGAGCGAACAGGAUUAGAUACCCCGGUAGUC
rnacentral:rRNA from 1 species